GAUGAACGCUGGCGGCGUGCCUAAUACAUGCAAGUCGAGCGAACGGACGAGAAGCUUGCUUCUCUGAUGUUAGCGGCGGACGGGUGAGUAACACGUGGAUAACCUACCUAUAAGACUGGGAUAACUUCGGGAAACCGGAGCUAAUACCGGAUAAUAUUUUGAACCGCAUGGUUCAAAGGUGAAAGACGGUCUUGCUGUCACUUAUAGAUGGAUCCGCGCUGCAUUAGCUAGUUGGUAAGGUAACGGCUUACCAAGGCAACGAUGCAUAGCCGACCUGAGAGGGGGAUCGGCCACACUGGAACUGAGACACGGUCCAGACUCCUACGGGAGGCAGCAGUAGGGAAUAUUCCGCAAUGGGCGAAAGCCUGACGGAGCAACGCCGCGUGAGUGAUGAAGGUCUUCGGAUCGUAAAACUCUGUUAUUAGGGAAGAACAUAUGUGUAAGUAACUGUGCACAUCUUGACGGUACCUAAUCAGAAAGCCACGGCUAACUACGUG
rnacentral:rRNA from 1 species